ACGCUCGACACCUACAGGAGGCAGCAGUAGGGAAUCUUCCACAAUGGGCGCAAGCCUGAUGGAGCAACACCGCGUGAGUGAAGAAGGGUUUCGGCUCGUAAAGCUCUGUUGUUAGGAGAAGAACGUGCGUGAGAGUAACUGUUCACGCAGUGACGGUAUCCAACCAGAAAGUCACGGCUAACUACGUGCCAACAGCCGCGGUAAUCUGAGCGGGCUGGCAAGGC
rnacentral:rRNA from 1 species